AUUGAACGCUGGCGGCAUGCUUUACACAUGCAAGUCGAACGGUAACAGGCCGCAAGGCGCUGACGAGUGGCGAACGGGUGAGUAAUGCAUCGGAACGUGCCCAGUCGUGGGGGAUAACGCAGCGAAAGCUGUGCUAAUACCGCAUACGAUCUAUGGAUGAAAGCGGGGGACCGUAAGGCCUCGCGCGAUUGGAUCGGCCGCUGUCAGAUUAGCUAGUUGGUGGGGUAAAGGCCCACCAAGGCGACGAUCUGUAGCUGGUCUGAGAGGACGACCAGCCACACUGCGACUGAGACACGGACCAGACUCCUACGGGAGGCAGCAGUGGGGAAUUUUGGACAAUGGGCGCAAGCCUGAUCCAGCAAUGCCGCGUGCAGGAAGAAGGCCUUCGGGUUGUAAACUGCUUUUGUACGGAACGAAACGGUCUGGGUUAAUACCCUGGGCUAAUGACGGUACCGUAAGAAUAAGCACCGGCUAACUACGUGCCAGCCGCCGCAGUAA
rnacentral:rRNA from 1 species